rnacentral:misc_RNA from 1 species
CCAGUCUCGACGCGGCAGCGCUUACCUUAGUGUCGCGUCAUACGGGUGUGCGAUCACACGUGCGACAAAAUCAUGGGUGAGAAACGUGCCGUGCUAUGCCCGCGCGGACGACAGGUGCCCCUUCUGGUAGUGACAACCUUGUUGGUAGGCGUGCGUACGGAGCUUGUCGAUCCUAAAUUCAAGGAGCCAAUAGCCAAUGUAACCGCGCCGGUGGGAAGGGAAGCCAUUCUCUCCUGCGUAGUUCAAGAUCUCGCCGGAUACAAGGUGGCAUGGUUGCGCGUUGACACGCAGACUAUCCUGACGAUAGCGAGCCAUGUGAUCACGAAGAAUCACAGGAUCGCGGUUUCCCACAGCGACCACCGCACAUGGUUCCUUCACAUACGCGAGGUGCGAGAGUCCGAUCGAGGCUGGUAUAUGUGCCAGAUAAACACGGACCCCAUGAAAAGCCAGAUCGGUUAUCUUGAAGUGGUCGUGCCGCCCGACAUCCUGGACUACGAUACCAGCACGGACAUGGUGGUGAUGGAGGGGCGAAACGUGACUCUGCGCUGCGCCGCGACCGGUUCCCCGGCGCCUAACAUCACCUGGCGGCGUGAGGAUGGUCAGCCAAUUCAAACCGGGACCGGGGAGGAAGUUAUGACCAUAGAAGGGCCGAGCUUCAAUAUCACAAAAGUGAAUCGGCUGCAUAUGGGUUCCUAUUUAUGCAUCGCAUCCAAUGGCGUGCCACCCUCCGUCAGCAAAAGAAUAAUGCUUACUGUGCAUUUUCCACCGAUGAUUUGGGUUCAAAAUCAGUUAGUAGGUGCUCUCGAGGGUCAGAAGCUGACUCUCGAAUGCCACUCAGAGGCGUUUCCAAAGUCUAUAAAUUAUUGGACCAGAGAUCAGGACAAGAUUGUGCCGCAAGGUGGGAAGUACGACCCGGUGCUGAAGGACAACGCGUACAAGAUACACAUGAAGCUGACGAUAAAUUCCGUCAGUACGGCUGAUUUCGGCUCGUACAAAUGUGUCUCUAGAAAUUCGCUGGGCGACACUGACGGCAGCAUCAAAGUCUAUCCAUUAUUGAACUCCAACGGCACCAAAACCAAAAACAACAUAGUUUCGUGACGUACCACCUGAAACCGAAUACCACAACGCGAAACAAAUUGCUUUAAAGACAUUCAACGGAACACCAAUUAAUCAAAGAAAACGGAACAAGAAGACAGUCAAAAUAAUAGGAUUCAAUUAAAUAAUUUUUCAUUCGCUAAUUCACGAGAAGCUGACACUGAUUUGUCCACGUUUACAUAACAAAGUAAACUAAAGUAUAAUUCAGGGAACAAUAUCCUGGAGGGAAAUCAAGAUAUGCUACAGGAAGGACGAGAUCUAAAACUACGA